UACAGAGGGGGCAAGCGUUGUUCGGAAUUACUGGGCGUAAAGGGCGCGUAGGCGGCCGGCUAAGUCGAACGUGAAAUCCCCGGGCUCAACCGGGGAACUGCGUCCGAUACUGGUGGGCUCGAAUCCGGGAGAGGGAUGUGGAAUUCCAGGUGUAGCGGUGAAAUGCGUAGAUAUCUGGAGGAACACCGGUGGCGAAGGCGGUUCUCUGGGCAUUCCCUGACGCUGAGGAGCGAAAGUGUGGGGAGCGAACAGG
rnacentral:rRNA from 1 species